rnacentral:rRNA from 1 species
UUUCUCCGCCGGCGACCGGCGCACGGGUGAGUAACACGUAUGCAACCUGCCCCUGUCAGGGGGACAACCCGCCGAAAGGCGGGCUAAACCCGCGUACAUGCCACCGGGGCAUCCCGGAGGCAGGAAAGGCUUCGGCCGGACAGGGAUGGGCAUGCGGCGCAUUAGGCAGUAGGCGGGGUAACGGCCCACCUAACCGACGAUGCGUAGGGGUUCUGAGAGGAAGGUCCCCCACACUGGUACUGAGACACGGACCAGACCCCUACGGGAGGCAGCAG